AACGAACGCUGGCGGCAUGCCUAACACAUGCAAGUCGAACGAGAUCUUCGGGUCUAGUGGCGCACGGGUGCGUAACGCGUGGGAAUAUGCCCUUUGGUUCGGAAUAACAGUUGGAAACGACUGCUAAUACCGGAUGAUGACGAAAGUCCAAAGAUUUAUCGCCAGAGGAUGAGCCCGCGUAGGAUUAGCUAGUUGGUGUGGUAAAGGCGCACCAAGGCGACGAUCCUUAGCUGGUCUGAGAGGAUGAUCAGCCAAAUUGGGACUGAGACACGGCCCAGACUCCUACGGGAGGCAGCAGUGGGGAAUAUUGGACAAUGGGCGAAAGCCUGAUCCAGCAAUGCCGCGUGAGUGAUGAAGGCCUUAGGGUUGUAAAGCUCUUUUACCCGGGAUGAUAAUGACAGUACCGGGAGAAUAAGCUCCGGCUAACUCCGUGCCAGCCGCCGCCGUAA
rnacentral:rRNA from 1 species